GUCCUCUCGUUUAUUUGUGAGGUCUGACCUGCCCAGUGAUUUAGUUUAACGGCCGCGGUAUUUUGACCGUGCAAAGGUAGCAUAAUCAUUAGUCUUUUAAUAGAAGGCUGGAAUGAAGGGUUUGACGAGACAUUAACUGUCUCACUAUUAUAUUUUAUAAUUUAACUUUUAAGUUAAAAGGCUUAAAUUUUGUUGGAAGACGAGAAGACCCUAUAGAGCUUUAUAAUUAAAAGUUUAAUUUUUAUUUUUGUUUAGUUUAAUUAUUCUUUUAAUUAUUUUGUUGGGGUGACAGUAAAAUAAAUUUAACUUUUAUUAAAUAUUGUUCAUUUAUUUAUGUUUUAUUUGAUCCUUUAUUAUGGAUUAUUAGAUCAAGUUACCUUAGGGAUAACAGCGUAAUCUUCUUUUGAAGUUCUAAUUUGCGAGAAGGCUUGCGACCUCGAUGUUGGAUUAAGAUAAUGGUUAGGUGCAGUAGCUUAACUAAUAGGUCUGUUCGACCUUUAAACUCUUACAUGAUCUGAGUUCAGACCGG
rnacentral:rRNA from 1 species